GGCCUUGACAUACUAAGAACUUUCCAGAGAUGGAUUGGUGCCUUCGGGAACUUAGAUACAGGUGCUGCAUGGCUGUCGUCAGCUCGCGUCGUGAGAUGUUGGGUUAAGUCCCGCAACGAGCGCAACCCUUUUCCUUAUUUGCCAGCGGGUCAUGCCGGGAACUUUAAGGAUACUGCCAGUGACAAACUGGAGGAAGGCGGGGACGACGUCAAGUCAUCAUGGCCCUUACGGCCAGGGCUACACACGUGCUACAAUGGUCGGUACAAAGGGUUGCUACCUCGCGAGAGGAUGCUAAUCUCAAAAAGCCGAUCGUAGUCCGGAUCGCAGUCUGCAACUCGACUGCGUGAAGUCGGAAUCGCUAGUAAUCGCGGAUCAGAAUGCCGCGGUGAAUACGUUCCCGGGCCUUGUACACACCGCCCGUCACACCAUGGGAGUUUGUUGCACCAGAAGUAGGUAGUCUAACCGCAAGGAGGACGCUUACCACGGUGUGGCCGAUGACUGGGGUGAAGUCGUAACAAGGUAAGCGUAGAUGA
rnacentral:rRNA from 1 species